rnacentral:rRNA from 1 species
GACGAACGCUGGCGGCGUGCUUAACACAUGCAAGUCGAACGGAAAGGCCCUGCUUGCAGGGUACUCGAGUGGCGAACGGGUGAGUAACACGUGGGUGAUCUGCCCUGCACUUCGGGAUAGGCCUGGGAAACUGGGUCUAAUACCGGAUAGGAGCCAUUUUUAGUGUGAUGGUUGGAAAGUUUUUUCGGUGUAGGAUGAGCUCGCGGCCUAUCAGCUUGUUGGUGGGGUAAUGGCCUACCAAGGCGGCGACGGGUAGCCGGCCUGAGAGGGUGGACGGCCACAUUGGGACUGAGAUACGGCCCAGACUCCUACGGGAGGCAGCAGUGGGGAAUAUUGCACAAUGGGCGCAAGCCUGAUGCAGCGACGCCGCGUGGGGGAUGACGGCCUUCGGGUUGUAAACUCCUUUCGCUAGGGACGAAGCUUUUUGUGACGGUACCUAGAUAAGAAGCACCGGCUAACUACGUG